AAAGAUUGCAGUUUCACACUGUUUGUGUCCAGUGUAUAACCGUCUGUCUUAUUUGAAAAAGUUUUAUGAUUAUUAUUUUUGUUGUUAUUAGAUGAUAAAACAUGAAUAGUACUUUAUGUGUGACUAGCAUUUUUAAUUUUUUUUUUCAUAAAUUUAUCAAAUAAGAUGCACGGUCAAACGUUGGACACAGAAAUCCACAACUGCACUUAAA
rfam:Oryza rufipogon genomic scaffold, chr04